rnacentral:rRNA from 1 species
UACGAAGGGGGCGAGCGUUGUUCGGAUUUACUGGGCGUAAAGGGCGCGUAGGCGGCCCUUCAAGUCAGGCGUGAAAGCCCCGGGCUCAACCUGGGAGGUGCGCUUGGGACUGGAGGGCUGGAGUUCGGGAGAGGAGCGUGGAAUUCCCAGUGUAGAGGUGAAAUUCGUAGAUAUUGGGAAGAACACCGGUGGCGAAGGCGGCGCUCUGGACCGAGACUGACGCUGAGGCGCGAAAGCGUGGGGAGCAACAGG